GCAUGCAAGUUGAGCGAAGCUUUUUGGUAGUUUACUACUAGAAAUGACUGAGCGGCGAACGGGUGAGUAACGCGUGAGCAAUCUACCUUAGUUACUGGGAUAGCCCGAGGAAACUCGGAUUAAUACCGGAUAUUCUUAUUUUUUCACAUGAAGUUUUAAGGAAAGGUCAGCCGAACUAAGAUGAGCUCGCGUUCUAUCAGCUAGUUGGUGGGGUAAAAGCCUACCAAGGCUACGACGGAUAGCUGGUCUGAGAGGACGAUCAGCCACACUGGGACUGAGACACGGCCCAGACUCCUACGGGAGGCUGCAGCAGGGAAUAUUGUGCAAUGAGCGAAAGCUUGACACAGCGACAUCGCGUGUGGGAUGACGGUUCUAGGAUUGUAAACCACUUUCAGGAGGGAAGAAAAUGACGGUACCUCCACAAGAAGACCCGGCCAACUAUGUGCCAGCAGCCGCGGUAAUACAUAGGGGUCAAGCGUUGUCCGGAUUUAUUGGGCGUAAAGAGCUCGUAGGCGGUUCAACAAGUCGGUCGUAAAAGUUUAGGGCUCAACCCUAAAAUGUCGAUCGAUACUGUUGUGACUAGGAUACGGUAGAGGUGAAUGGAAUUCCGAGUGUAGCGGUGAAAUGCGUAGAUAUUCGGAGGAACACCAAUUGCGAAGGCAGUUCACUGGACCGUGAUCGACGCUGAGGAGCGAAAGCUAGGGGAGCAAACAGGAUUAGAUACCCUGGUAGUCCUAGCUGUAAACGAUGGAUACUAGAUGUAGAACUGGAUUGACGGUUUCUGUAUCGUAGCUAACGCGUUAAGUAUCCCGCCUGGGGAGUACGGUCGCAAGACUAAAACUCAAAGGAAUUGACGGGACCCCGCACAAGCGGCGGAGCAUGCGGCUUA
rnacentral:rRNA from 1 species